rnacentral:tmRNA from 1 species
GGGGGCGAAACGGCUUCGACGGGGAGGGAGGAGACUGGAACAGCAGGCCGUGCACCUCAGGUCCACACGUUAAACGGUCCUGGGAAACGAUAGCUGCGAACGAAAACUUCGCGCUGGCUGCGUAAGGCAACUUCGUAGCCCGAUCCGCUCCUCGCCGCUGCCCGUCGAGGGGGGAUGGAUCGUCAUCAAAACGGGCUGGUCUCGCGGCGCGCCUACUGCCGCGUGACGAGAGCCCGGCUUCGGUCGGGAUGGGGCUUACCCGGCGGCUGGCGAGUCUGCGGCAGGUCGUCCGGGGACAAGACUCAGCGGACUAAGCCUGUAGCGGUUCCUGUCACGCCUUUCUCGGACGUGGGUUCGACUCCCACCGCCUCCACCA